rnacentral:lncRNA from 1 species
ACAACUCCACCACCCAUAGACGAAGUUCGAUGUCCUCAUCGAACGGUGAACAAUUUUAUAAAGUAACACCCGCAUGUGUUACCAUUUCCAUCCUUGGCGCGUAGCCAAUAUUUGUUAAUGGUGUGACAUUGAAGGCUCACCAUGCCUUCUCCAUAUUCGUCAAUGGUUGGACAUUGAAGGCUCACCAUGCCUUCUCCAUAUUCGUCAAUGGUUGGACAUUGAAGGCUCACCAUGCCUUUUGCAUAUCCUCUAAGGAGGGUAGUCUCUCCAACUUAGAGACUGAUUGGACCACAUAUAGUGGUUCUCUCCUUUUAUUGGUUUAGUUCUCGCUAAACCUCUUAGAGACCCUUCUCU